AAAUGUCAUAGCAAUAUUUGGAAAUGCGAAGAAGAGAGAAAACUAAAUUAGUUAUGGAUAUAUUUCAAGCAUUCAAAUGAAUUAUUUUCACAAUGUCUUAUCUGUCGAUGCAAAUGUUUUGAUUUUAUCUGAAUUUGUAGUGAAUCACUUAAAUUUGUAUUCUGAAGAACAACGGAAAAAUCAUAUACUUCAAAAUUGACCAUGGAAAUAUUGGACACAAAGAAGUGAUUUUGGGGUAAAGUGUAAUAUUUGUAACAACAAAUUAUUUCUUUCUCUUCCAAGUCAUCUGGAAUAUCAUAUAAAAAUGGAACACUCAACUAAAAAAUACGCAAGAAAAGACGACACAGUUGAUUCAUCAGAACGCAUUUUGUCACUUGAAACGGAACAGUGUGUAUGUUACUAAAAAAUUUUUAAUUUUGAUGAAAAAUCAGUAUUUUUAAACUUCGGAUUGCUUACGUGAAAGUACGUACAUGCCAAAAGAUGAUUAUGAUUUCGAAGUAGAGUGUAAUAUUUGUCACAGAAGCAUAUCUGUUGCUGUCAGAAGUUAUUUCAAUGACCAUGUUGAAGAUGAACAUCAUUUGCAAGACAACUAAGCUGAAUAAAAGAAUGGCAGUAAAUUUUAUUGUUAUUAAUAGAUUUGUUUUCCCCCGAAACUUGACAAUGAGAACGAUGAUAAAGGCAUCUAAGUAGUAUCAUACCAGCAAUAAUGGUAAUCUUGAUUUUGACGAU